AUGGAUCAGUCAGCCAACUCGGGCAAGGUGACUACACCUGUCUACACAGCCUGUCCUGGGCAAGUAAAACUCUUGGCUUUAAGAAGAUUUUUCACGGACCCUAGUGUAGAGAAGAGUGGCUGUGGCGUUAUACAAACUUUCCAUCUAUUGAGUCUUUUCUGCACACCUAGCAUUCAAUCCUCCCCUAAAGUUCUUCGAGGUAGUUAUCACUCUCCUCAUUUGCAAAUGAAGAAACUAAGAAUCACCUCAAGAUUAACUGCAAUUCCCGGGCUGCAUUUGGUGGGCAGUGGGGCUGGGAUUUGAAUUCAGAUUUCUCUGAUGACAAAUCACCACAUGCAGUAUCCAAAGGAGUAUUAUGAGAGUCCUGGUUGAAGACCAAGCAUUCACAUUUUCAUUGAAUCCAAAAUGUGCUGCCCGACACACUGUCUGGAGAGGAAGUAAGCCUCUGGAGGGAACAGUUGUGGAUGCCCUGCCAUGCCCAACAUGUUUGAUGCUCAAGUAAACAACACCUUUGUGGAGUCAUCAUAGAGUUAUAAGUCCUCUGAUAACAGAUUCAUUUCUUAGCAUAAGAAAGUAGCAUUUCCCCCAAUUAGUGGGGAAGUCCAAGUGCAGGCAUUACAAAUAUUCUCUCCAUGACCUUCUACAUACCCAAUUCUGCCUGCUACAAAUGCCUGCUGGUCCACUGAAAAGGACUUUCUCGUGAAGACGCCACAGUAUGAGUGACACCAUUCUCUGCUCCAUCCUCCAUGGAUUCUAUUCUACUGCAUCACUCAUUUGGUUGGGAAAGUGCUUUCAUGUGAAGGUCUUGAUUGAGACAAUAGACAGAUAGACACCCACAGAUACUAGCAAAGAGAGUGGACUCUCUGCCUCUAAAAGUACUAAUUUUACCACCUCCAUGGGUGAAACAAUUCACCUUGUCAGUCUUCUUGGGCAGUUCUGGAGGUUAGAGAGAAGCUAAAAGUUUAUAGCUUAAUAGAAGCAUUUGUAACCAUGGCAAGAUAAACAGACAUAACUUAAAAGCUAACUCCAAUAAAAUGCCGAGGGGCAAGACA
rnacentral:lncRNA from 1 species